CCUACGAGGGGCAGCAGUGGGGAAUAUUGCUCAAUGGGGGAAACCCUGAUGCAGCGACGUCGCGUGAGUGAUGAAGGAACUCGUUGUGUAAAGCUCCAUCAGAAGGGAAGUAAAUGACGGUACCUGUGUAAGAAGCCCCGUCUAACUACGUGCCGGCAGCAGCGGUAAUACGUAGGAGGCAAGCGUUAUCCGGAUUUACUGGGUGUAAAGGGAGCGUAGACGGCAGUGCAAGUCUGGAGUGAAAGUCGGGGGCUCAACCGCCGGACUGCUCUGGAUACUGUACGGCUGGAGUGCAGUAGAGGUAAGUGGAAUUCCUAGUGUAGCGGUGAAAUGCGUAGAUAUCAGGAGGAACACCAGUUGCGAAGGCGGCUUACUGAACUGUAACUGACGUUGAGGCUCGAAAGCGUGGGGAGCAAACAGGAUUAGAUACCCGUGUAGUC
rnacentral:rRNA from 1 species